AUACCGGAUGCUCCGCUCCAUCGCAUGGUGGGGUGGGAAAUGCUUUUGCGGCAUGGGAUGGGGUCGCGUCCUAUCAGCUUGUUGGCGGGGUGAUGGCCCACCAAGGCGUUGACGGGUAGCCGGCCUGAGAGGGUGACCGGCCACAUUGGGACUGAGAUACGGCCCAGACUCCUACGGGAGGCAGCAGUGGGGAAUAUUGCACAAUGGGCGCAAGCCUGAUGCAGCGACGCCGCGUGCGGGAUGGAGGCCUUCGGGUUGUAAACCGCUUUUGUUCAAGGGCAAGGCACGGUUUCGGCCGUGUUGAGUGGAUUGUUCGAAUAAGCACCGGCUAACUACGUGCCAGCAGCCGCGGUAAUACGUAGGGUGCGAGCGUUAUCCGGAUUUAUUGGGCGUAAAGGGCUCGUAGGCGGUUCGUCGCGUCCGGUGUGAAAGUCCAUCGCCUAACGGUGGAUCUGCGCCGGGUACGGGCGGGCUGGAGUGCGGUAGGGGAGACUGGAAUUCCCGGUGUAACGGUGGAAUGUGUAGAU
rnacentral:rRNA from 1 species